AAGGUAAUAUACCUUGUCAAUGAAUUUGAGAAGAGAUUAAACUUUUAAAUUUAGAGUUUGAUCCUGGCUCAGGACGAACGCUGGCGGCGUGCUUAACACAUGCAAGUCGAGCGAUGAAGCUUCCUUCGGGAAGUGAAUUAGCGGCGGACGGGUGAGUAACACGUGGGUAACCUGCCUCAAAGUGGGGGAUAGCCUUCCGAAAGGAAGAUUAAUACCGCAUAAUAUAAGAGAAUCGCAUGAUUUUUUUAUCAAAGAUUUAUUGCUUUGAGAUGGACCCGCGGCGCAUUAGCUAGUUGGUAAGGUAACGGCUUACCAAGGCAACGAUGCGUAGCCGACCUGAGAGGGUGAUCGGCCACAUUGGAACUGAGACACGGUCCAGACUCCUACGGGAGGCAGCAGUGGGGAAUAUUGCGCAAUGGGGGAAACCCUGACGCAGCAACGCCGCGUGGGUGAUGAAGGUCUUCGGAUUGUAAAGCCCUGUUUUCUAGGACGAUAAUGACGGUACUAGAGGAGGAAGCCACGGCUAACUACGUGCCAGCAGCCGCGGUAAUACGUAGGUGGCGAGCGUUGUCCGGAUUUACUGGGCGUAAAGGGUGCGUAGGCGGAUGUUUAAGUGGGAUGUGAAAUCCCCGGGCUUAACCUGGGGGCUGCAUUCCAAACUGGAUAUCUAGAGUGCAGGAGAGGAAAGCGGAAUUCCUAGUGUAGCGGUGAAAUGCGUAGAGAUUAGGAAGAACACCAGUGGCGAAGGCGGCUUUCUGGACUGUAACUGACGCUGAGGCACGAAAGCGUGGGUAGCAAACAGGAUUAGAUACCCUGGUAGUCCACGCCGUAAACGAUGGAUACUAGGUGUAGGGGGUAUCAACUCCCCCUGUGCCGCAGUUAACACAAUAAGUAUCCCGCCUGGGGAGUACGGUCGCAAGAUUAAAACUCAAAGGAAUUGACGGGGGCCCGCACAAGCAGCGGAGCAUGUGGUUUAAUUCGAAGCAACGCGAAGAACCUUACCUGGACUUGACAUCCCUUGCAUAGCCUAGAGAUAGGUGAAGCCCUUCGGGGCAAGGAGACAGGUGGUGCAUGGUUGUCGUCAGCUCGUGUCGUGAGAUGUUAGGUUAAGUCCUGCAACGAGCGCAACCCUUGUUAUUAGUUGCUACCAUUAAGUUGAGCACUCUAAUGAGACUGCCUGGGUAACCAGGAGGAAGGUGGGGAUGACGUCAAAUCAUCAUGCCCCUUAUGUCCAGGGCUACACACGUGCUACAAUGGUAGGUACAAUAAGACGCAAGACCGUGAGGUGGAGCAAAACUUAUAAAACCUAUCUCAGUUCGGAUUGUAGGCUGCAACUCGCCUACAUGAAGCUGGAGUUGCUAGUAAUCGCGAAUCAGAAUGUCGCGGUGAAUACGUUCCCGGGCCUUGUACACACCGCCCGUCACACCAUGAGAGCUGGUAACACCCGAAGUCCGUGAGGUAACCGUAAGGAGCCAGCGGCCGAAGGUGGGAUUAGUGAUUGGGGUGAAGUCGUAACAAGGUAGCCGUAGGAGAACCUGCGGCUGGAUCACCUCC
rnacentral:rRNA from 1 species